rnacentral:misc_RNA from 1 species
GAAAUGCGAUAAGUAAUGUGAAUUGCAGAAUUCAGUGAAUCAUCGAAUCUUUGAACGCACCUUGCGCUCCUUGGUAUUCCGAGGAGCAUGCCUGUUUGAGUGUCAUUAAAUUCUCAACCUCACCAAUUUUUGUAAUGAAAGUUGUGUGCAGGCUUUGAUGUGGGGGUUUGCAGGUCCGCCUCUUGGUGGUCUGCUCCUCUGAAAUGGAUUUGCGGGUUGUGCCCCUAAUCUAUUGGUGUGAGAAUCAUCUACGCCGUGGCUCAGGUUGGCUACUAUUGACCUGCUUCUAACCGUCCGUCUCGGACAACUUUGACAUUUUUGACCUCAAAUCAAGUAGGACUACCCGCUGAACUUAA